GGGCAGAUGGCCGAGUGGUCUAAGGCGCUGCGUUUAGGUUAUUUCUGAACAUCCUCCGCAGUCAGUAAUGGCGUGGGUUCGAAUCCCACUCUGCUCA